AAAGGAAUUGACGGGGGCCCGCACAAGCGGUGGAGCAUGUUGCUUAAUUCGACGCAACGCGAAGAACCUUACCAGGCCUUGACAUCCUAGGAACCCUCCCGAAACGGAGGGGUGCCUUCACGGGAGCCUAGAGACAGAUGGUGCAUGGCUGUCGUCAGCUCGUGUCGUGAGAUGUUGGGUUAAGUCCCGCAACGAGCGCAACCCUUGUCGACUGUUGCCAGCGGGUAAUGCCGGGGACUCUGUCGAAACUGCCGGAGCAAUCCGGAGGAAGGCGAGGAUGACGUCAAGUCCGCAUGCCUCUUACGGCCGGGGCUGCAAACAUGCUACAAUGGCUGGUACAGAGGGCUGCGAAGCCGCGAGGCCGAGCAAAUCCCACAAAGCCAGUCUCAGUUCGGAUUGGAGUCUGCAACUCGACUCCAUGAAGGUGGAAUCGCUAGUAACCGUAGAUCAGCAACGCUGCGGUGAAUACGUUCCCGGGCCUUGUACACACCGCCCGU
rnacentral:rRNA from 1 species